GCAACCACUACACCAACUCUUGAACCUUCCUCUACCAUCUCCCCAUUUCAUCUGGGGCAGUCACAUGGUAUAGGUCACAUGACUUUUGCCAGAACUUUGAAUCUGGAGUUAGUGAUAAAGGAAGAAUGAAUGUUUGAAUGUGGCAGCAUAAGGAGCAGACCAGAUGGUCCCCACAGCUGUGGUCCUUGAGCCCCUGGUUGAUUCGGUGAACCGUCAGGUUCCUUCCCUACAAUUAACCUUGUUUUCCCAUUAGAUAGCUAGAAUUGGUUUCUGUUGCUUGCAACCAAUACUCCUGACUUAAUUAGGAACUGUCCAGGCCUCUGGUUGCUGAAAAAUUCCAUCAUGAGCCUUGGCGCCUCCAAAGUCCAGAACAUAACUGCUGAAAGAUGCUUGCACUUAGGGAGCCAUUCGUGGACCACAGGCUGACACAGCAAAGGACAGCAGCCAACGUGCUGUGAUGACGGAAGACAGAAAGAGCUCAGGUCCUUGCUCAAUCAUGGAACUAUUGAGUCAACUCUGGAACUACCUACCUCUGGAUUUUAUGUUCCAUAAAUCAGUGUCAUGAUGACCACUAUGUUGGUCAGCAUUCGAUACAGCAGUGGCCAGCCAUUCUAAUGGAAAUAUACAUUCUAAUGCCCAGUGAGAGAAACCAGUCUGGCUGGAAGGCCACCCAUCUGGCUGGUGACCACUCUGCCAGCUGAUGGGGAGGCUUUUCCUAUGGGUGAAGUCAACCCAGAGGAAAUGGACAAUUUUUUGCCAUAUAUGGAUACCACUUUUACUAUUAUUGUUUUAUAAAACUAAUCUCACUUUUCUUUGCUUAAUGUUUUAAAAAGAAAUAGAUCACCAUUAUAAAUUUUAAAAAGACAGGAACGCUUGCCAUUAUAGAAAGUAAUAAAAAGAUUUUAAAAUGAAA